GUCCCUGUAGCGCAAUGGAUAGCGCGUUGGACUUCUAAUUCUGGGGUUGUGGGUUCAAACCCCACCUGGGAUA